rnacentral:sRNA from 1 species
CCGGGCGCUCGGAGGAACGAAACUCGCUGAUGUUUAGUCCCACCUCGGCCAGCGUAGGGGAGACACACCGGUUUAUAAGCCUGAGCGCGGCAGCAGACUUGUCCCUUCGGGGACAUCCGAUAAAAUUGGAACGAUACAGAGAAGAUUAGCAUGGCCCCUGCGCAAGAAUGACACGCACAAAUCGAGAAAUGGUCCAAAUUUUU